AAAUGCUGCACACAGAAAAAGUUACGUGGUACGUUAGCUGUGCGCAGCACAUGACUUGUAAAAAUGAUGCGUAUUUUGCGCGGAAUGCUUUCGGCGGCGUUACAUGUAUAUUAUACUUUCUUUACUUUUCUCCAACUCAAAACAAACAACUUCUCAUGAAUACAGACUUACAUGUCACUGGAAUGAUCAAUUCCUUCGAUAAGAUUGGCUUCAUCCGCGCUGGUGGCAGAAUCCGGGCCAGACGAGUGGCUGGACUCUUCAUCCGACGCUGCAGUUUGCUGGAGAGCUUCGCUCCAGAUGUAUAAUAGUUUAGCGCGACCAGGUUUUCGCUGCUCCUCAAAUAAUGUGUGGAAGUGUGUCAAAGGUGUGUGUGGUGGGUCCAUGUACGGAUCUGGUAAUUGGAUUUUCCGUUCUGAAAUGGGUAUUGAAAAACCAAAAAUGAGUGGUUAUUUGAUUUUCGUUUAAAAUACAAAAAUUAAAAUUGAAAUACAAGGUGUUUUUCCUUUUCAUGAUCAAAAAGGGAUAUACGACUUUUUUUAAAUGCUUUGAUUUUCGUUUUAUAUUUAGAAUAACAAGAAAGUAAAAUCAGUAAGAAACAGAAACGGAAAAAAGGUCAGUUUUUUCAUUUUCUGAGACCGGAAGUGGUCAUCAGCAAGUGUGGUGCCAAACGACAACAAGAUUCUCAGAGGGCGGAGCCAGAGAGCAGCGAUUGGUCAGACCAUAGAUAAUAUAGAAGACAGCGCGCUAACGUGUGUAGUCUAUGUAUAUCUAUGGUCGGCACGUCUGGUAGCAUCUCUGGCUGCUGUUGAUCUUGUUUUUGGAGUAAAACACGGUGGAAGCUGAAUUAGUGAGGAUGACUCCUGCUCCUGUCAUCUCUAAGCUCCUCACACAUCUUUACCUGCACAUGAGGAAAAUCACUCCUGUAGAAUGCAGAUGUUCAGAGGGAGAUGAUGCCACAUCUGGUCCAGCUGAUGGAAGGUCUUGAAGUUCUCUGACUGGCCUCGACUGAAGAUGGUCGUCUCACUGGAUUUAAGGUUCAGAUGCUCAGUAACAAACUCCACCAAUGUGCCAACAGGGAAGGUUUAGGUUUAUUAAAUGUUGCUGUGAAGGUAUCGCUGUUUUUCUAAGUUCUAAUUCAACUUAGAAGUAAAUCCUUCCAUCUGAAAGGAUUUAGUUGCAUUAAUAACCUCAUAACAUUCUAAUUUUUAUUCCAGUCUUGGUUGGAAAUAGAAUCUCUGUAUUGAUUCAGGUAAAAACUGAACUUCACAGCAUGUUGAAGCAAAACAACCAGAUGAAAACUGUGAUGGUGUUGGAUUGUCAGACCGUAAUGUUGCAGCUCAAAGCAGCUUUUCUAUCUCAGUUCAAUCUGACAUUCAGCUAUGAAUCAACACAGCAGAUGGUGAUCCAUGCUGUGGAAGUCUCUGAAAUGAGCGUUAUCAGCAAUAAUCAAGUGUUCAUUUGAUGAACUUCAUUUCCUAAAACAUCCAGAAUUGGAGCUCAUAUCUUUGGCAGCUGUAAAGUUUCUGCUCCUUCAAAGUUCACAACACAAUGAAUGAAUUCCUAAAACACUCUCAAUGCUGGAGAGCGUUUGUGAUGCUGAAGCAGUGAUCAGUUUUUCAGUUUCUUCUCUGGAGAUGCAUAAUGAGGGACGUCUGCAGAGACUGAGAAAGAGUCUCACCACAUCCUUACAUGAGGAAAAAGACUUUAUUGAAGACUACAAUGAGAAAAACUAUCAGACAGCAGACGGCUGCAUUCAAGUCUGUAGCUGCUGAAUUCAUGGAUGAAUCAUCUGGCACUAGAGAGGAAGACCAUCAAACAUCCACGUCAGCUGAUGGAGGUCCAAGAGUCUCACCAAACAAACAACCUACACAGUGAAGACCUCGAAUCUGAUUGGACGGCCUCCUAUUCAGCCACGUGUGAAGAAAUGCCUCUAAGUUGAUUUGUUUUCUAAAAUAAAUCUAGUUUGAGUCCUAAUC